GACUCUCGGCAACGUAUCUCGGCUCUUGCAUCGAUGAAGAACGUAGCGAAAUGCGAUACUUGAUAAGCGGAGGAAAAGAAACUAACAAGGAUUCCCCUAGUAACGGCGAGCGAACCAGGAAAAGCCCACAAUGAGAAUCGGUCGCCUUUGGCGUUCGAAAUUAGUCUGGAGAACCGUCCUCAGUGGCG
rnacentral:rRNA from 1 species